AUUCAAAUGCAAUGUAUUUAGUGCUGUGCCAGUUUGUGCCUUAGCAAGUCCGAAUUAGGGUACAGCACCACGUUUUAGCAGAAAGAAGAGCAAAAGCAUCAUGCUUCUGUGUGGUGCUCCAGAACUGUACUUUUUGUUAGCUUAUCGUGAAUUUGGUAGACACGCAAAUAAAAUAUGCAACCUUCUUUGACAUUCUUGCUGACGCUGAACAAACAACCUUGUUUGGAACACCUCAAAUUCGGUAUGUGGGUGGCCUGCCUUCAUGAUCCUUUGAUGAUCAUGAAGAAGGGCAUCAUAGCGCAGGUGAUCCUUUAGUGCAGACACUUGCGAGAAGCUUCGAAGGCAUGAAGGGCACUGAAGUGGUAAAUCGCCUGUGUGGGUGCACAGGUAUCGGUUCAAAAUACUAUUUUGUGAGAAGCUCUGAGAGCAUGC